rnacentral:rRNA from 1 species
UACGUAGGGGGCAAGCGUUAUCCGGAUUUACUGGGUGUAAAGGGGGCGCAGACGGCGAUGCAAGCCAGGAGUGAAAGCCCGGGGCCCAACCCCGGGACUGCUCUUGGAACCGCGUGGCUGGAGUGCAGGAGGGGCAGGCGGAAUUCCUGGUGUAGCGGUGAAAUGCGUAGAUAUUAGGAAGAACACCAGUGGCGAAGGCGGCUUACUGGACAGUAACUGACGUUGAGGCUCGAAAGCGUGGGGAGCAAACAGG